GGCAAGAUGGCCGAGUUGGUUAUGGCGUAGUGUUCAAGGGACGACUUGAGCUCUUCCUCUCCAAAGGGAGAGGGUUACCACUAUUCCGAAAGGAUCAUGGGUUCGAAUCCCAUUCUUGUCA